CCCCUCUAGAUAAAAAGGGCGUGGUUUCAGGCAAAUAACUUUGAUCUCUUCAUUCUAAUAAGAGCCCACCAUAAACAUCUUAUCCAACAACUUGAGUACAUUUGAGCAACAGUACAGCUCUAGCUCUACAGGCAGAGAUUACUUAUCAGCAGAAAGCCAUGAAUACAGAAGAGAUUGAUCUCGAGGCUGAGAUCAAAGAUAUUGCUGACAUUCGUGCGAACCUGUUGUGUCUCCUUAAGCACCAGCAGCGUCUAAGAGAGGUGGUGAGAAGAGGGGUAGACUCUCACAGGCUGGACCCUAAUGUGGCUGAUGUUCAACUCGCCCUCAAUGGAGUAGUGGCCAUGAACAAGUUUGUUAAAGAGAAGAAUCAAGAAUUGGAUAGACUAGAAGAAUGUAUACAACAGUGCAUGAAUCAGAGGAAGUGUGUCGAUGCGUAGACUGCUGGCACACUCAGAAAAUCAAUCAGCUCAUUUGUAUAAUUUUUGUUUGUGAUUUUAUAAUUUCUGAACGUCGUUAAACAGCAAUAAUUGAGUUUAUAUCAACUCUUGAUUGGAA